UCACUAAUCAGGAGAAGGUGUGGAAAUUCCGCGUUCAAGACGAACCAAAAACCGGAAGAUGAACCAAAAUAAGGACAACAGCAGACUUCUCUUCAUGUUUGGCACAUUUCCAGGAUACGUCAUUGUUAUUGGACAAUGUCCAUAGUUCCGUAUUAGUUGUGUCCUCCUCUGUCCAGUAAAACCCCCUCCUCGUCCAAGACUACGGGACUAGACCACAAGCUAUUACAGCUUCAACUCUUCUGGGAAGGCUGUCCACAAGGUUGCGGAGUGUGUCUAUAGGAAUUUCCCACCAUUCGGGUUCAGGUCAGGACUCUGUGCAGGCCAGUCAAGUUCAUCCACACCAGACCUUGGUAGUGUCCCACUCCAAACUGUUCCAACAAGUUUCACAAAUUCCUGAGUAAAGUAGCUGAUGACGACGACUUCUGUUUUGUUUGAUCGACCGUUUUACUGCCGUGUUACAGACACCGUUUGGAAACAAUUAAGGGAACAAGGAUGAAGUCUUGUCAAUGGCAGGGAAAAAGUUCAUCGCCGUCUAUUUCAUUCCUGAACCUCUCAUGCUGAAACAUGAAUAAUUCCAAAGGAGCCCAACAUUUGUCAGCGCCGUGGAAACGCCGAGUGUCUUUUAAGUCGGCGGCUGUGAGUCUCAGGCUGUCUCAAAAAAGACGAACAUCUCGAAAUGCCGUAGGAUCAAUUCUGCUUACGCAACGCUCUGCGCUUAUCCUUUUUUCAUGUGAUGCUCGCUUUUGUCUUGGUUUAAAAGCUUCUGAAGGCACAAUCACUGAGGAUACGGAGCAAGAGGAGGCAACAGUGAGGAGAGGAGAUGGAAUUGUGCUCCAGUAAGAGUAAUGUUAC